GACGAACGCUGGCGGCGUGCUUAACACAUGCAAGUCGAACGGUGAAGCCGGAGCUUGCUCUGGUGGAUUAGUGGCGAACGGGUGAGUAACACGUGAGUAACCUGCCCUUGACUCUGGGAUAAGCGUUGGAAACGACGUCUAAUACCGGAUACGAGCUGGGACCGCAUGGUCACUAGCUGGAAAGAACUUCGGUCAAGGAUGGACUCGCGGCCUAUCAGCUUGUUGGUGAGGUAACGGCUCACCAAGGCGACGACGGGUAGCCGGCCUGAGAGGGUGACCGGCCACACUGGGACUGAGACACGGCCCAGACUCCUACGGGAGGCAGCAGUGGGGAAUAUUGCACAAUGGGCGCAAGCCUGAUGCAGCAACGCCGCGUGAGGGACGACGGCCUUCGGGUUGUAAACCUCUUUUAGCAGGGAAGAAGCAAAAGUGACGGUACCUGCAGAAAAAGCACCGGCUAACUACGUGCCAGCCGCCGCUGUAACAC
rnacentral:rRNA from 1 species